rnacentral:rRNA from 1 species
UACGGGGGGGGCAAGCGUUGUUCGGAAUUACUGGGCGUAAAGGGCUCGUAGGCGGCCAACUAAGUCGGAUGUGAAAUCCCCAGGCUUAACCUGGGAACUGCAUCCGAUACUGGAUGGCUUGAAUCCGGGAGAGGGAUGCAGAAUUCCAGGUGUAGCGGUGAAAUGCGUAGAUAUCUGGAGGAAUACCGGUGGCGAAGGCGGCAUCCUGGACCGGCAUUGACGCUGAUGAGCGAAAGCUAGGGAGCAAACGGG